UCCUCUUUAGCUCAGUUGGUUAGAGCAUCUGACUGUUAAUCAGAGGGUCCUUGGUUCGAGUCCAAGAAGAGGAGCCC
rnacentral:tRNA from 1 species